UACGGGGGGGGCAAGCGUUGUUCGGAAUUACGGGGCGUAAAGGGCUCGUAGGCGGCCAACUAAGUCGGAUGUGAAAUCCCCAGGCUUAACCUGGGAACUGCAUCCGAUACUGGAUGGCUUGAAUCCGGGAGAGGGAUGCAGAAUUCCAGGUGUAGCGGUGAAAUGCGUAGAUAUCUGGAGGAAUACCGGUGGCGAAGGCGGCAUCCUGGACCGGCAUUGACGCUGAUGAGCGAAAGCUAGGGGAGCAAACGGG
rnacentral:rRNA from 1 species